rnacentral:rRNA from 1 species
UAAGGUUUCCUGAGGAAGGCUCGUCCGCUCAGGGUUAGUCGGGACCUAAGCCGAGGCCGAUAGGCGUAGGCGAUGGACAACAGGUAGAGAUUCCUGUACCAGUGCUAAUUGUUUAACCGAUGGGGUGACACAGAAGGAUAGGGAAUCGCACGAAUGGAAAUGUGCGUCCAAGCAGUGAGUGUGAGAAGUAGGCAAAUCCGCUUCUCGCGAAGCAUGAGCUGUGAUGGGGAAGG